CAGACCUCUAAUCGGCAAAAGUA
rnacentral:rRNA from 1 species